rnacentral:rRNA from 1 species
UGGUGGAGUGAUUUGUCUGGUUAAUUCCGUUAACGAACGAGACCUCAGCUUAUUUGUUAGAUUCUAGUAUACUUAUACGCUUAAUCUUCUUAGAAGGACUACUGUAUUUUAUUCAGUGGAAGUAUGAGGCAAUAACA